UAAGAUGAGUCUGAUGCUGAAUAAGCCUU
rnacentral:piRNA from 1 species